UACGUAGGGUCCGAGCGUUGUCCGGAAUUACUGGGCGUAAAGAGCUCGUAGGUGGUUUGUCGCGUUGUUCGUGAAAACUCACAGCUCAACUGUGGGCGUGCGGGCGAUACGGGCAGACUAGAGUACUGCAGGGGAGACUGGAAUUCCUGGUGUAGCGGUGGAAUGCGCAGAUAUCAGGAGGAACACCGGUGGCGAAGGCGGGUCUCUCGGCAGUAACUGACGCUGAGGAGCGAAAGCGUGGGGAGCGAACAGG
rnacentral:rRNA from 1 species